AUUGAACGCUGGCGGCAGGCCUAACACAUGCAAGUCGAGCGGAUGAAGGGAGCUUGCUCCUGGAUUCAGCGGCGGACGGGUGAGUAAUGCCUAGGAAUCUGCCUGGUCGUGGGGGAUAACGUCCGGAAACGGGAGCUAAUACCGCAUACGUCCUGAGGGAGAAAGGGGGGGAUCUUCGGACCACACGCUAUCAGAUGAGCCUAGGUCGGAUUAGCUAGUUGGUGGGGUAAAGGCCUACCAAGGCGACGAUCCGUAACUGGUCUGAGAGGAUGAUCAGUCACACUGGAACUGAGACACGGUCCAGACUCCUACGGGAGGCAGCAGUGGGGAAUAUUGGACAAUGGGCGAAAGCCUGAUCCAGCCAUGCCGCGUGUGUGAAGAAGGUCUUCGGAUUGUAAAGCACUUUAAGUUGGGAGGAAGGGCAGUAAGUUAAUACCUUGCUGUUUUGACGUUACCAACAGAAUAAGCACCGGCUAACUUCGUG
rnacentral:rRNA from 1 species